AUGAAGGCUACGGCGUUUCUUCCCAGCGUCUGCGGCCUCGCUCUCGUCCUCCUCCCCGUCAAUGCCGCUGGUGUGGAGUCUCGAGGACCUCUGGGCGGCUACCACUGGUACACCAUGUUCAUGUUCGGCGAUUCGUUCGCGGACACCGGCAACCUCCCGAGAACGAGCUGCAGGAGCUCCUUGUCGCGUCAAUGGCACUAUCCCUACGGCACCUUUAAUGGAAGUCGAAGUGGCAAUCCGCUCGGCCGCUUCUCCAAUUACUUGGUUCAGCCCGAUAUCAUCGCGAGGAUGUUAGGGCGCCUCGUAGGCCCUCCGGCGUACAAGCGCAUGGUUAAGCACUACUGCGACCCGUCCGGCAUGAGCUUCGCCGUCGGCGGCUCAGGCGUGUACGAGGUCCCGGAGAACCUGACGACCCUCUCGCAGCAAAUCGACAACUUCGAGAGGCUAAUCAAGGAUCGAACCAUCUCCAAAUGGCACCUCGCCGACUCCGUGGCGCUCGUCGCCAUCUCCGGCAACGACUACUCGCACAUCAACUCCAGCGACGUCGGCAACAUGAUCGCUCUCAUCAAGAAAGUGACGACCGAGAUCACGGCGAAUGUGCAGCGGCUGCAGAAGCUGGGCGUGAAGAAGAUCCUGGUGAACCAGCUGCACCCCGUCGGCUGCACGCCGUGGCUCACCAGGCCGACCAACUACACCGUCUGCGACUCGCGGGCCAACAUGGGCGUGGACCUCCACAACGGCCACCUCAGCAUAAAUUUGCGCAAGUCCAAGAACGUCCAUAUCCUCGACCUCGCCACCGCCUUCUCCAACAUCGUCAAUCCAGCCCCAGGUAAAGGCUCGAGGCUGGCCAAGAGGUUCGAGCACAAGCUGACGCCGUGCUGCGAGAGCUUUGAUCCCGAGGGGUACUGCGGGCAGCUGAGUAAGAACUCGGAGAGGCUUUACAUCGUGUGCAAGAACCCUGACCAGUAUUUCUACUGGGACAGCGUGCACCCCACGCAGGCCGGCUGGGAGGCCGUUAUGAAGCAGCUGCAAAAGCCUAUGCUCAAGUUCCUAACAAAGGAACAUUAA
rnacentral:rRNA from 1 species